AGUCAGUACAGUUACCGUGUCGGUGACACUGCGGAAGGAUCAUUAAAAGUGAUUGGUUAUACAUUUCAUGUAUCAACUGCAUUAACCCAUUCCGAGUACCUUGCCUGUUGCUUCCAUGGGGCCUGACCUAGGUCACUCUUGUGAUGUGAAACCCAAGAGAGUCCCCAUGGGAGGUAAUCAUUAAAUUCAUGUAUCCAAUGUCUUCUGUCUGAACUGUUUAUAACAAAUGUUAAAA
rnacentral:misc_RNA from 1 species